rnacentral:rRNA from 1 species
GACGAACGCUGGCGGCGUGCUUAACACAUGCAAGUGGAGCGACGAACCAGGCUUCGGCCUGGGGCAGAGCCGCGAACGGGUGAGUAACACGUGGGUAACGUGCCCCAAUGAUCGGGACAACCCGGGGAAACCCGGGCUAAUACCGAAUGUGCUCCCCUCACACCAGUGAGGGGUGGAAAGGAAGCUUCGGCCUCCGCAUUGGAUCGGCCCGCGGCCCAUUAGCUUGUUGGUGAGGUAACGGCUCACCAAGGCUGCGAUGGGUAGAUGGUCUGAGAGGACGAUCAGCCACACUGGGACUGAGACACGGCCCAGACUCCUACAGGAGGCAGCAGUGGGGAAUCUUGCGUAAUGCGCGAAAGCUUGACGCAGCAACGCCGCGUGGGGGAAGAAGGCCUUCGGGUUGUAAACCCCUUUCAGGAGGGACGAAGCCCGGGCGGUUAAUAGCCGACCCGGGUGACGGUACCUCCAGAAGAAGCCCCGGCUAACUACGUGCCAGCCGCCGCGGUAACAC